UACGAGGGGGUCCUAGCGUUGUUCGGAAUCAUUGGGCGUAAAGGGUGUGUAGGUGGCUAUGUAAGUCAGGUGUGAAAGCCCCGGGCUCAACCCGGGAAGUGCAUCUGAUACUGCGUAGCUUGAGUACCGAAGAGGAUAGUGGAAUUCCAGGUGUAGUGGUGAAAUACGUAGAUAUCUGGAGGAACACCGGUGGCGAAGGCGGCUAUCUGGUCGAGUACUGACACUGAGACACGAAAGCAUGGGGAUCAAACAGG
rnacentral:rRNA from 1 species